AGCUUCAGGACCUAAGUAGUGCCUGGGGAUCUGAAAGAGACGACUGACUGAGGUGGUUGAUGGGAUUCUUACAGCAACAAAGCACCAUCUUGGAAGCAGAGAGCCACCCUCACCAGAACUGAAUGCAGGCACCAUGACUUUGAACUUCCCAGCCUCCAGAACUGUGAGAAAUAAAUUUCUAUUCUUUAUAACUUACCCAGUCUCAGGUAUUUUGUUACAGCAACACCAGUGGACUAAGUUACAGUCUCAGGAAGAAAGCAUGCAUUCCUCUUGUCUCCCAAUUAGUGCUGCCAGGACCUCCAGAACUCCAGAUGGAUUCGCCUGGCUGACACUUGAAAGAUUUUUGCUCUAACUUAAUAGAAAGGACAGACUGGCAAAGCCAUAGUUAAAUCAGUUGGAGGAGCCACAAAUCAAAUCAUCUUUACAGAAAGAUUCUUGGAAUCUGCAACUCUAAGCAAAAUGACAUGUGAUGACCUUGGCUAUAUGUUGUUGGUAAGACCUCAUUGGUAAGAAUUUAAUAGAAUUAGCCUUUAUGCAAGAUAUUCAUCUGUUCGUCUGUUGCUUUGCUUAUUUGUUCAACCAACCAACAAUUACCAGGCCAUGCAGGGUUCUAUGAACUGAGAACACAACAGCUGAUAAGCUAGACCAGGGCCCUGCUGUUGAAGCACUUAUAUCCCACUGGGAGACAGAAAACAAGCAGUGGCAUAUAAAGACAUAAUAUAUCAGCUGCAAAGUUCAGGGGGAAAUAAAGCAAGGGAGGGUGGAUACUAUCUCAGACACUGUUCAGGGAGAUCACAUAUUAUCUUGUGUUCAUUAGCACUUAGGCCAGCAGUAUGAGCUAAAACGUGGCAAAUAACAUUUUUCCAAGAGUCAGAAAGAAAGAAAGCACUGUAGAUGACUGGAGUUGGUUUCUUUAAAAAGUAAAUAUGAAAAUUUCCUUUCUGGGCUACAGAGGUGUGGCAGCUUUUAAGAACCUUUUCUCUAGCUUCCCUCAGAGAUCACUUAAAGAAGCUAAGUGAGGUAUCUAGUCUUUGUCAUUCCUGUUAAAGAUUUCAUCACUGAAGGACCCCUGACACAUCUUUCAAAAGUGAUCCAAUCAUAAUGCCCUGUAGGAGGGCAGUGCUGCCAAAUGGGGAGAGCAUCAGUCUAGCCACCCAGAGAUUCCAGAUUGAUGCCAGAUACUUAUUUUUAUCCUUAUAUGAUGUGUCUAGUCCACCUGAAGUCUCAGUAUCAGUCUCAAAUAGAUGAGAUCAGGGAGUUAAAUGCUGUGCUUUGUGUGAACUUCAAUACAGGGAACACAAAACCACUUCUGGGGUUGUAAUGCAGCUGAUUUCAUGCAUGCCUGCUUCAUAUAUGUCUGCUUAAUAAGUAAGAUCAAAUCAAAUCAAAUUAUUUGUAACAGCACUGACUUCCUUGUCCUUGAUAGGCUUCUCUUUGAAGCAAACAAAGUGGAAGAAAUGGUGAUAUAAUUUCUGUUAUAAUCUGUCUUGUACUAUAUUUGGUGAAAGUGAACUGCUUUUUAUAAAAUAAAUGGCUAGGGCUGGGGAGUUUUAAAAUAACUCUUAAAGGUAAAGGUUUUGAGUCCCUAGAAUGAAAUGCUCAAUAAAGCAAUUACUCCCCUUGGUGGCUUUCCAGAGUCCUGUACCUUUGGGAUUCACUUUCCCUUCUCUGUGUUUGCACAGCAGUCCCUGGAGGACUCUUGCUGAGGACACUUAGUGAUGAGACAUUACUUGUUGAGGCUCACACUCCCUUCUGGGAGACGCACUAUACCAGGAUUCCAACUCCAUCUCAUCCCACACACGGAGACUUCACCAUCCUGGCAACCUUACUGUGCUACCUUUGACCACAAAACAGGCAAAAUCUUCAAAUUUCCUAAGCCUCACUUUCAAUGUAUGUAUUACAAGGACAAUGAUAGCACAUACGUCAUAAGAGUGUUGCAAGGAUCAAAUGAGUGCUCACCAUGGCGCCCAGCAAGAAGAUUAUCACAGGGACACCUGGGAAAAUGUCCCUAGGGCCAGUACCCUGAGAUUCUUCUCUAUAAACAGAGAACUUGGACAUUAUCUGGGUUGCCGAGUGUGGGCUCUCUGAGGCCUUUCUGCUACAAAUGUCAGCAUUUUCCAGAGAAACAGUGACAACAUGAGAUUCAAGACUCUGUGAGCUGGACAGCAGAUGGAGGCACACUGACAGCAGAUGGAGGACAUAACGCUGACAGUUAAGAGACACGUGAAUGGGUUGAUGGGGAAUGAUCUCUUUGUGAAGUCUGUUGUUGGCAACACAUUGUGGCGGAAGAAACAGCUCAGUGAUGGUCCCCACAGCUGCCAUUCUCCAGUCUUGAAGUUGGUGUAUGACCUUGCUGUGACUGACUUCCUAUGGGCUAACAAUGUGGAAAACAGCAAUGGUCAAGAAAUCCUCCCUGUCCUUUUGUGUUCCAGGCAGAGAGCCACCCUUCCCUAUGUGACUUGGAGAAGACUCAUGGAUGAGCUCCUCGAGAACCUAUGACAAAGCCAGACACAACCCCUCCUAGGGUCUGAAUGUUUAUGUCCUUCCAAAUUCAUAUGUUGAAAUCCUAACCCCCGAGGUGAUGGUAUCAGGAAGUGGGGCCUUGGGAGGUGGUUAGGUCAUAAGAUUGGAGUUCUUAUGUAUGGAAUUAGUGAUCUCAUAUUUUUAAAAAGGCCCCAGAGAGCUGCCGUGCUCCUUAAGCCAUGUGAGGAUACAGCAAGAAGGUG